GGGUUGUGAGGUUAAGCGACUAAGCGUACACGGUGGAUGCCCUGGCAGUCAGAGGCGAUGAAGGACGUGCUAAUCUGCGAUAAGCGCCGGUAAGGUGAUAUGAACCGUUAUAACCGACGAUUUCCGAAUGGGGAAACCCAGUGUGACUCGUCACACUAUCAUUAACUGAAUCCAUAGGUUAAUGAGGCGAACCGGGGGAACUGAAACAUCUAAGUACCCCGAGGAAAAGAAAUCAACCGAGAUUCCCCCAGUAGCGGCGAGCGAACGGGGAGGAGCCCAGAGCCUGAAUCAGCAUGUGUGUUAGUGGAAGCGUCUGGAAAGGCGCGCGAUACAGGGUGACAGCCCCGUACACAAAAGCGCAUGUGCUGUGAGCUCGAUGAGUAGGGCGGGACACGUGGUAUCCUGUCUGAAUAUGGGGGGACCAUCCUCCAAGGCUAAAUACUCCUGACUGACCGAUAGUGAACCAGUACCGUGAGGGAAAGGCGAAAAGAACCCCGGCGAGGGGAGUGAAAAAGAACCUGAAACCGUGUACGUACAAGCAGUGGGAGCACCUUCGGGUGUGACUGCGUACCUUUUGUAUAAUGGGUCAGCGACUUAUAUUCUGUAGCAAGGUUAACCGAAUAGGGGAGCCGUAGGGAAACCGAGUCUUAACCGGGCGUUAAGUUGCAGGGUAUAGACCCGAAACCCGGUGAUCUAGCCAUGGGCAGGUUGAAGGUUGGGUAACACUAACUGGAGGACCGAACCGACUAAUGUUGAAAAAUUAGCGGAUGACCUGUGGCUGGGGGUGAAAGGCCAAUCAAACCGGGAGAUAGCUGGUUCUCCCCGAAAGCUAUUUAGGUAGCGCCUCGUGAAUUCAUCUCCGGGGGUAGAGCACUGUUUCGGCUAGGGGGCCAUCCCGGCUUACCAACCCGAUGCAAACUGCGAAUACCGGAGAAUGUUAUCACGGGAGACACACGGCGGGUGCUAACGUCCGUCGUGAAGAGGGAAACAACCCAGACCGCCAGCUAAGGUCCCAAAGUCAUGGUUAAGUGGGAAACGAUGUGGGAAGGCUCAGACAGCCAGGAUGUUGGCUUAGAAGCAGCC
rnacentral:rRNA from 1 species